UGGGGAAUAUUGGACAAUGGGGGCAACCCUGAUCCAGCCAUGCCGCGUGAGUGAUGAAGGCCUUCGGGUUGUAAAGCUCUUUUGGCGGGGACGAUGAUGACGGUACCCGCAGAAUAAGCCCCGGCUAACUUCGUGCCAGCAGCCGCGGUAAGACGAAGGGGGCUAGCGUUGUUCGGAAUUACUGGGCGUAAAGCGAGUGUAGGCGGUUGCCGUAGUCAGGUGUGAAAGCCUUGAGCUCAACUCAAGAAAUGCACUUGAUACUGGGUGACUAGAGGACCGGAGAGGAUAGUGGAAUUCCCAGUGUAGUGGUGAAAUACGUAGAGAUUGGGAAGAACACCAGUGGCGAAGGCGGCUAUCUGGACGGUUACUGACGCUAAGACUCGAAAGCGUGGGGAGCAAACAGGAUUAGAUACCCUGGUAGUCCACGCCGUAAACGAUGGGUGCUAGACGUUGGCGAGCUUGCUCGUCAGUGUCGCAGCUAACGCGUUAAGCACCCCGCCUGGGGAGUACGGCCGCAAGGUUGAAACUCAAAAUGAAUUGACGGGGGUCAUAGCUGUUUUCCU
rnacentral:rRNA from 1 species